AGCAGCCGCGGUAAUUCCAGCUCCAAUAGCGUAUAUUAAAGUUGUUGCAGUUAAAAGCUCGUAGUUGAAUUUCGGGAUCAAGUCGUCGGUCGUGCUCAGGUACGUACUGGCGUCAUUGAUUUCUCCCUUCUGACGAACCAUGAUGUCAUUAAUUUGGUGUCAUGGGAAAUCAGGACUGUUACUUUGAAAAAAUUAGAGUGUUUAAAGCAGGCUCACGCUUGAAUACAUUAGCAUGGAAUAAUGAAAUAGGACGUUCGAUCCUAUUUUGUUGGUUUUUAGGAUCAACGUAAUGAUUAAUAGGGAUAGUUGGGGGCAUUAGUAUUCAAUUGUCAGAGGUGAAAUUCUUGGAUUUAUUGAAGACUAACUACUGCGAAAGCAUUUGCCAAGGAUGUUUUCAUUAAUCAAGAACGAAAGUUAGGGGAUCGAAGACGAUCAGAUACCGUCGUAGUCUUAACCAUAAACUAUGCCGACUAGGGAUCGGAUGAUGUUAAUUUUUUAAUGACUCAUUCGGCGCCUUACG
rnacentral:misc_RNA from 1 species